GAGGUAAGGCUUGAGGUUAGGGUUGGAGUAAGGGUUGAGGCUAGAGCUGAGGUAAGGCUUGAGGUUAGGGUUGGAGUAAGGGUUGAGGCUAGAGCUGAGGUAAGGCUUGAGGUUAGGGUUGGAGUUAGAGUUGAGGCUAGAGCUGAGGUAAGGCUUGAGGUUAGGGUUGGAGUAAGGGUUGAGGUUAGGGUUGGAGUAAGGGUUGAGGUUAGGGUUGGAGUAAGGGUUGAGGUUAGAGCUGGGGUAAGGGUUGAGGUUAGAGCUGGGGUAAGGGUUGAGGUUAGGGUUGGAGUUAGGGUUGAGGUAAGGGUUGAGGUUAGGGUUGGAGUUAGGGCU
ensembl:lncRNA